CUUCCCACGAAAUGUGUCCCACGCGCCACGCCGUCGGUUUCCAGGGCAACCCGGCACCUCUUAGCAGCCCCGCGCGCCGCGGGAGUCGUUUCCUGCGCCCCCAGCCCUGCCAUGGCGGCCGCGGGCCCCAGCGUCUUCCUACUCAUGGUCAACGGGCAGGUGGAGAGCGCCCAGUUUCCUGAGUAUGAUGAUCUCUACUGCAAGUACUGCUUUGUGUACGGCCAGGACUGGGCCCCCACGGCGGGUCUGGAGGAGGGCAUCUCACAGAUCACAUCCAAGAGCCAAGAUGUGCGGCGAGCGCUGGUGUGGAACUUCCCCAUCGAUGUCACCUUUAAAAGCACCAACCCUUAUGGCUGGCCACAGAUCGUGCUCAGUGUGUAUGGACCAGAUGUGUUUGGGAAUGAUGUGGUCCGAGGCUACGGGGCAGUGCACGUGCCUUUCUCACCCGGCAGGCACAAAAGGACCAUCCCCAUGUUUGUCCCAGAAUCCACAUCUAAGCUGCAAAAGUUUACGAGCUGGUUCAUGGGACGGCGGCCCGAGUACACAGACCCCAAGGUGGUGGCUCAGGGGGAAGGCCGGGAAGUGACCCGCGUCCACUCCCAGGGCUUUGUCACUCUCCUCUUCAAUGUGGUGACCAAGGACAUGAGGAAGCUGGGCUACGACACUGGGCCUCCCAACACGCAGGGCGCCCCAGGGCCCAGCCCACCACAGGGCCUCCCCCGGUGAAGGCACACACCGGCCACGGCCACCACCACCACCACUGCAUACGGCCCCGCGGCUCUCAGAACCCAGGCCUGGAGCCGCCGCCUCUCCAUCUGGCACUGCCCCCAUCCCUGCAUUGCUCAGGGGACACGGCUGCCCCGAGAGCCACAUGAUGGCCCAACUGGGAUGUGAGUCUGGUUCAGGCCUGGCUCCACCACUGUCGGCCAUGUGGCCUUUCUUCCAGCCACACAUGCUCCUCCUUGGCGACAGGAGCUGCAGGGGGGCCCAGCCUGUCCCCUGCUGGCCCCCAGGCCUGUAGCCCCGAGGACAGGGUGGAAGUCCUCCCAGAGGCCCGAAGCUGCCGGCACCCGAGCCUUCUGGUCUCACAGCAGGAGUCCCGCUGAGCUGAGUCCUCCCCACGCAGAUCCCCACAGCCCCGGGACUCUGUGCUGCUCGGGCCCCCCGUCGCGGCCCCCCCAUGCCCCGUGUGCUCUGGGACCCGUGGUCUGGUCCUGUAAUUCUAACUCCCUCCUCGGAAUGGUUGGUGCCCUCUGCCUCUGCUGUGCUGAGAGCCACACUGGCCCUCGCAGCCCUCCUCAGCAGGGGCUCUGCUGGCCCAGCCGUGUCCCUGCGGCCCCGGGUGACACAUGCAGCCCCCUGCCCCUCACCAGCAUUCCUCGCUUCUGGGACACCCGGGCUGGCUGCCACCUCCCUUGCCCUUGGGCUUUGUCUCCAGCCCUCCUGACACCCUGUGCUCGUCCAUGCAGAGGAGCCCGCCCUCAACUACCCUCUUCCUCACCACCUCCCUAGUGCCCUUGGCCUGACCCCUCAGCAGCCACCCAUCUCAGUGCCUACCUCUCAUCCCCGGUGAUGGCCGGGUCUCCAAGAUCCGCACCCAAGCAGCAUCACCCUCCCUGCCCUGUGGGUCUUCCUGUGGUCCACAGCCAGGAGUCUUUCGUGGCCUGGUCCUGCAAGCCCCCCCCCCCACCCUGUGGGCUGCCCAUCAUCCCUCCAACCCUUUCCUCCCAGCCCAAUUUAGAGUUCACGAGGGUCAUCACAAGUACCUUCAUCCCACACCCUCCACUGCUGGGCCUUGUGUCCCUCCAUCUGCUUCACCCUGUGACAGGGAGCAGUUGACUGGGGUAUUGUCACUGCAGCCAGCCCCAGGCCUGCCUUGCUCAGUCUGCAGCCAGGGCUCCCCCACAGCCACACGCAGACCCAUCGCUCCUCCGCCAGCUCCGCUGGCAUCUUAGAGAAGCUCCACUCCCUGUGUCUUUCCUCUUCAUGUGUCCAGUAGCCAUCACCCUCAGCAGAAGGGCUCAUGGGGAAACAGAAACCAUCCUAGAGGGGUGCCUGGCUGGCUCAGUGGGUGGGGUGUGCAACUUUUCAUCUGGGGGGGGGUGUGAGUUUGAGGCCCAUGCUGGGGCUUGGGAUUACUUUUAAAAAAUAAAAUUUGGGAUCCCUGGGUGGCGCAGCGGUUUGGCACCUGCCUUUGGCCCAGGGCGUGAUCCUGGAGACCCGGGAUCGGGUCCCACGUCGGGCUCCCUGCAUGGAGCCUGUUUCUCCCUCUGCCUCUGUCUCUGCCUCUGUCUCUCUGUGUGUGACUAUCGUGAAUAAAUAAAAUCUUUAAAAAAAAAUAAAAAAUAAAAUUUCUUGGGGCACCUAGGGCUCAGUGGUUGGGCCUCUGCCUUUGGCUCAGGUCAUGAUCCCAGGGUCCUGGGAUCGAGUCCUGCAUCAGGGAGCCCGUUUCUCCC